CACGGACUUCGGUCUGGUGGCGAGUGGCGAACGGGUGAGUAAUAUAUCGGAACAUACCCUAGAGUGGGGAUAACGUAGCGAAAGUUACGCUAAUACCGCAUACGCACUAAGGUGGAAAGUGGGGGAUCGCAAGACCUCAUGCUCAUGGAGUGGCCGAUAUCUGAUUAGCUAGUUGGUGAGGUAAAGGCUCACCAAGGCGACGAUCAGUAGCUGGUUUGAGAGAACGACCAGCCACACUGGAACUGAGACACGGUCCAGACUCCUACGGGAGGCAGCAGUGGGGAAUUUUGGACAAUGGGCGCAAGCCUGAUCCAGCAAUGCCGCGUGAGUGAAGAAGGCCUUCGGGUUGUAAAGCUCUUUUGUCAGGGAAGAAACGGUAGUCUCUAAUACAGAUUGCUAAUGACGGUACCUGAAGAAUAAGCACCGGCUAACUACGUGCCAGCAGCCGCGGUAAUACGUAGGGUGCAAGCGUUAAUCGGAAUUACUGGGCGUAAAGCGUGCGCAGGCGGUUAUAUAAGUCAGAUGUGAAAUCCCCGGGCUCAACCUGGGAACUGCAUUUGAGACUGUAUGGCUAGAGUGUGUCAGAGGGGGGUAGAAUUCCACGUGUAGCAGUGAAAUGCGUAGAUAUGUGGAGGAAUACCGAUGGCGAAGGCAGCCCCCUGGGAUAACACUGACGCUCAUGCACGAAAGCGUGGGGAGCAAACAGGAUUAGAUACCCUGGUAGUCCACGCCCUAACGAUGUCUACUAGUUGUCGGGACUUAAUUGUCUUGGUAACGCAGCUAACGCGUGAAGUAGACCGCCUGGGGGAGUACGGUCGCAAGAUUAAAACUCAAAGGAAUUGACGGGGACCCGCACAAGCGGUGGAUGAUGUGGAUUAAUUCGAUGCAACGCGAAAAACCUUACCUACCCUUGACAUGGU
rnacentral:rRNA from 1 species